rnacentral:tRNA from 1 species
AGGAUUAUAAUUUAAAUUAAAAUAAUUGAUUUGCAAUCAAUAUAUAUUGAUGUACCAAUUUAUCUU